CUCCCUUCUCCGCCCUGCUCUAUAUUUUUUAGGGUUCAUGAGUAAGACAGCUGUAUCUGCUCCAACUAUCUAUCUGUCUGAAUUUAUUAUUGGAAUAUUAUCCGUUCCUUGGUUUAGGUUUCACAUGAAUGUUUAUUUCUCGCAUUAUACCAUGUUUCUGAUGCUAUGAUUGUGUCUAAGCAUGCUUAAUUUGUUGUACCUUGACACUACCAAAGCAUGAUUUCAUCUAUUCCUGGAGAAGUAAGUUUUGAAAUGUGCAAGUGUACUAUCUCAUGAUCCUGAACCUUUCUGGAGCUGAUUUUUCACUUUAGAGAAUUUGGCUUUUCAUCCUAUUGAUUUGUAGCAAUAGCUUGAGCUUCUUUUUUGGAGUCUUGAAUUCCAAUAAACAACUUAAAUCAUUAAAGCUAAAUAAGAAAGAAAUUACCACUAAAUAUACCUUAAUUAGAAGAACUAUGAGUCUACAAGUAGAACUAGAUACCCUACAACCUCACAAGGGUUUUCCCAUCUUCAUUCAUAUGAACUUAGAAAAAUUACACGACAAUUAGUAUUUACAGGAUCUUAUGAACAUGGGCCUAAACCCAAAGUACAAGUAUUUUUUGUAAUGAUAAGGGAACCCGCAGCCGCUACCCUUCGGGUGCGCACAGGGUAAAUCCCGCUCCUGUGUAAUAGUCCGCAAACCACACAGGAGAGAUAACCCACACUAGGCAAGCCUUGUGCAAUGAGCUUGACUCAGAAGGCAAAUCCUCUACUUUCGUAGGCAUGGUGUUUCGAACCUGAGACCUCCAUUAUGAGAGCCUCAUGCUCAACCAAGAAGUCUAGUUGGCUAAAAAUAGAAAGACCCUUAACGUAGGAAGUAUGCUGAAUCAUUAGCAUCAGUAACCAUCUGUUAUGCGUAUUAAGUACUUACAAUUUUAUGUUCUUCAUACAUGCCAAUCUUAUCCAGACCGGUCAUCUAAAAAAUCUAGUCUUGCGAGCAUGUGAACUAACUGAACCUUCUUUCAAGACCACUUCGAAGGUAGAAACAAAAAUUAA